rnacentral:other from 1 species
UCUAUCCUGAGGUGUUCGUUACAGCCUUAUUUUUGAACCUACAACUUUUUAUCGGGAGUCCGGAUGUUCUUUAUACGAUGUUAUGCCUCCUUGAGUGGACAACUGACUUUUAGAGACAGGACACCCACCUAGCAUCCGCUAGGCGUCAAAAAUGGCGGACGGCACGCUUGGGACUUUU